rnacentral:rRNA from 1 species
GUCUACGACCAUGCUACCCUGAACAAGUCUGAUCCCAUCUGACCUUGGAAGCUAAGCAGGAUCGGUCCUGGUUAGUACUUGGAUGAGAGACCACCUAGGAAGACCAAGUGCUAUAGGUG